rnacentral:rRNA from 1 species
UACGAAGGGUGCAAGCGUUACUCGGAAUUACUGGGCGUAAAGCGUGCGUAGGUGGUUUGUUAAGUCUGUUGUGAAAGCCCGGCUCAACCUGGGAAUGGCAAUGGAUACUGGCAGGCUAGAGUGCGGUAGAGGUAGUGGAAUUCCCGGUGUAGCGGUGAAAUGCGUAGAGAUCGGAGGAACACCAGUGGCGAAGGCGGCUACCUGGACCAGCACUGACACUGAGGCACGAAGCGUGGGAGCAAACAG